GAUGAACGCUGGCGGCGUGCCUAAUACAUGCAAGUCGAGCGAACAGACGAGGGGCUUGCUCCUCUGACGUUAGCGGCGGACGGGUGAGUAACACGUGGAUAACCUACCUAUAAGACUGGGAUAACUUCGGGAAACCGGAGCUAAUACCGGAUAAUAUAUUGAACCGCAUGGUUCAAUAGUGAAAGACGGUUUUGCUGUCACAUAUAGAUGGAUCCGCGCCGCAUUAGCUAGUUGGUAAGGUAACGGCUUACCAAGGCGACGAUGCGUAGCCGACCUGAGAGGGUGAUCGGCCACACUGGAACUGAGACACGGUCCAGACUCCUACGGGAGGCAGCAGUAGGGAAUCUUCCGCAAUGGGCGAAAGCCUGACGGAGCAACGCCGCGUGAGUGAUGAAGGUCUUCGGAUCGUAAAACUCUGUUAUUAGGGAAGAACAAAUGUGUAAGUAACUAUGCACGUCUUGACGGUACCUAAUCAGAAAGCCACGGCUAACUACGUG
rnacentral:rRNA from 1 species